rnacentral:rRNA from 1 species
UCCUACGGGGCGCAGCAGUGAGGAAUAUUGGUCAAUGGGCGGAAGCCUGAACCAGCCAAGUCGCGUGAGGGAAUAAGGCCCUACGGGUCGUAAACCUCUUUUGCCGGGGAGCAAGGGCCGGGACGCGUCCCGGCCCGGAGAGUACCCGGAGAAAAAGCAUCGGCUAACUCCGUGCCAGCAGCCGCGGUAAUACGGAGGAUGCGAGCGUUAUCCGGAUUUAUUGGGUUUAAAGGGUGCGUAGGCGGGCUUUUCAGGCAGCGGCAAAAAUUCGGGGCUCAACCCCGUCGGGCUGUUGAAAUGGGGGG